rnacentral:rRNA from 1 species
AUUGAACGCUGGCGGCAUGCUUUACACAUGCAAGUCGAACGGUAACAGGCCGCAAGGUGCUGACGAGUGGCGAACGGGUGAGUAAUGCAUCGGAACGUGCCCAGUCGUGGGGGAUAACGCAGCGAAAGCUGCGCUAAUACCGCAUACGAUCUGUGGAUGAAAGCGGGGGACCGUAAGGCCUCGCGCGAUUGGAGCGGCCCAUGUCAGAUUAGGUAGUGGGUGGGGUAAAGGUUCACCAAGCCGACGAUCUGUAGCUGGUCUGAGAGGACGACCAGCCACACUGGGACGGAGACACGGCCCAGACUCCUACGGGAGGCAGCAGUGGGGAAUUUUGGACAAUGGGCGCAAGCCUGAUCCAGCAAUGCCGCGUGCAGGAAGAAGGCCUUCGGGUUGUAAACUGCUUUUGUACGGAACGAAACGGUCCUGGUUAAUACCCGGGGCUAAUGACGGUACCGUAAGAAUAAGCACCGGCUAACUACGUGCCAGCCGCCGCCGUAACAC